rnacentral:rRNA from 1 species
AACGGGUGAGUAACACGUGAGCAACCUGCCCUUCAGAGGGGGACAACAGUUGGAAACGACUGCUAAUACCGCAUAAGACCACGGUGUGGCAUCACACAGAGGUCAAAGGAGAAAUCCGCUGAAGGAUGGGCUCGCGUCCAAUUAGCUAGAUGGUGAGGUAACGGCCCACCAUGGCGACGAUUGGUAGCCGGACUGAGAGGUUGAUCGGCCACAUUGGGACUGAGACACGGCCCAGACUCCUACGGGAGGCAGCAGUGGGGAAUAUUGCACAAUGGAGGAAACUCUGAUGCAGCGACGCCGCGUGAGGGAAGAAGGUCUUCGGAUUGU